GGGGUGAACUUAGAGAUUAUGGGAGAUCAUAGGUUGGGAUGAAUUCAGGGAUUAUGGGAAACUCGAGGGUUGCAGGUAAAGUUUGAGGUUGAGGACCGCUGGCAAAAGAUAGAGAGGAAGGAGGGUUCUACCAGUGAGAGACAGAGAGAGAGGGAGGAGUAUUCUAUUCAAUUGAGAGAGAGAGAGAGAGAGGAAAAGGAUGUUUUGGUUGGCGAGAUAAAGAGCAAGGGAGGAGUUAUUUACUAGUGAGAGAGGGAGAGGGAGUAGGGUUCUAACGAAAUACAAAGAGGGAGAGAGGAUGGUUGUUCUAGGUGGAGAGAGAAUGAGGGGGGAG
rnacentral:lncRNA from 1 species